GACGAACGCUGGCGGCAUGCCUAAUACAUGCAAGUCGAACGAGCUUCCGUUGAAUGACGUGCUUGCACUGAUUUCAACAAUGAAGCGAGUGGCGAACUGGUGAGUAACACGUGGGAAAUCUGCCCAGAAGCAGGGGAUAACACUUGGAAACAGGUGCUAAUACCGUAUAACAACAMAAUCCGCAUGGAUUUUGUUUGAAAGGUGGCUUCGGCUAUCACUUCUGGAUGAUCCCGCGGCGUAUUAGUUAGUUGGUGAGGUAAAGGCCCACCAAGACGAUGAUACGUAKCCGACCUGAGAGGGUAAUCGGCCACAUUGGGACUGAGACACGGCCCAAACUCCUACGGGAGGCAGCAGUAGGGAAUCUUCCACAAUGGACGAAAGUCUGAUGGAGCAAUGCCGCGUGAGUGAAGAAGGGUUUCGGCUCGUAAAACUCUGUUGUUAAAGAAGAACACCUUUGAGAGUAACUGUUCAAGGGUUGACGGUAUUUAACCAGAAAGCCACGGCUAACUACGUGCCAGCAGCCGCGGUAAUACGUAGGUGGCAAGCGUUGUCCGGAUUUAUUGGGCGUAAAGCGAGCGCAGGCGGUUUUUUAAGUCUGAUGUGAAAGCCUUCGGCUUAACCGGAGAAGUGCAUCGGAAACUGGGAGACUUGAGUGCARAAGAGGACAGUGGAACUCCAUGUGUAGCGGUGGAAUGC
rnacentral:rRNA from 2 species